AUUGAACCCUCGCUGCACGUCUAACCCCUGCAAGUCUAGCGACCGGCGGACGGGUGAGUAAUGUAUGGGGACUGCCCGAUAGAGGGGGAUAACUACUGGAAACGGUAGCUAAUACCGCAUACUAUCGGAUAACCCAUAUGGGAUUAGCUAGUAGGUGAGGUAAUGGCUCACCUAGGCGACGAUCCCUAGCUGGUCUGAGAGGAUGAUCAGCCACACGGGGACUGAGACACGGCCCACACUCCUACGGAGGCAGCAGUUGGGAAUAUUGCACAAUGGGCGAAAGCCUGAUGCAGCCAUGCCGCGUGUAUGAAGAAGGCCCUAGGGUUGUAAAGUACUUUCAGUCUGGAGGCGUUACCGGCAGAAGAAGCACCGGCUAACUCCGUGCCAGCCGCCGCGGUAAUUC
rnacentral:rRNA from 1 species